rnacentral:rRNA from 1 species
AUUGAACGCUGGCGGCAGGCCUAACACAUGCAAGUCGAACGGAGCGGCGGUCGGGUGAGUAAUGCCUAGGAAUCUGCCUGGUAGUGGGGGAUAACGUCCGGAAACGGGCGCUAAUACCGAUUACUAUCAGAUGAGUCUAGGUCGGAUUAGCUUGUUGGUGGGGUAAAGGCCUACCAGGGCGACGAUCCGUAACUGGUCUGAGAGGUUGAUCAGUCAAACGGGAAAGGAGACACGGUCCAGACUCCUACGGGAGGAAGAAGUGGGGAAUAUUGGACAAGGGGCGAAAGCCUGAUCCAGCCAUGCGGGGUGUAGGAAGAGGGCCUUCGGGUUGUAAGGUACGUUCAGCGGGGAGGCGGUACCCGCAGAGGAAGCACCGGCUAACUCCGUGCCAGCAGCCGCGGUAAUAC